AAACCAAAAUAAUAAUAAAAAAAUCUGUUGGAUUACCCCAAAAAGCCCAGCCGCCUGGCUGUUGGGUUUUAGAGAUUAAGGGGUUGGGAAUACCAAAAUGAUGUGUUAAUGUACAACAUUAACUAGAAACACCAUUAAUUAAGCAUGAGAAUGUUAAACGUAAAAGUUUUUUUUUAAAGGUUUCAAUGUCUAUUUUACUAAAUAUAAAGAAACAAAUAAAAAGAAAGAAAAAAAAAUGAAACAGGAACAGAAACCAAUAGUCAUCUCCGAGCUCUCUCCAUCUCAAUCAAACACUUUCUCCUUCUCACUCGAUCGCGUCCUCAAUCGCUCACUCACGCCAGACCCCUCUCUCUCGAUCGCGUCCCCAACUUUCAAAUGCCCUCAACCUCACUUCCUCCAUCAUCGCUUCGUCCUCAAUCACUCUCCCAAUCCACAAUCUCACUCAAUCGCC
rnacentral:lncRNA from 1 species